AGUGAACGCUGGCGGUAGGCCUAACACAUGCAAGUCGAACGGCAGCACAGAGGAGCUUGCUCCUUGGGUGGCGAGUGGCGGACGGGUGAGGAAUACAUCGGAAUCUACUCUGUCGUGGGGGAUAACGUAGGGAAACUUACGCUAAUACCGCAUACGACCUACGGGUGAAAGCAGGGGACCUUCGGGCCUUGCGCGAUGGAAUGAGCCGAUGUCGGAUUAGCUAGUUGGCGGGGUAAAGGCCCACCAAGGCGACGAUCCGUAGCUGGUCUGAGAGGAUGAUUAGCCACAAUGGAACUGAGACACGGUACAGACUCCUACGGGAGGCAGCAGUGGGGAAUAUUGGACAAUGGACGAAAGCCUGAUACAGACAUGCCGCGUGGGUGAAGAAGGCCUUCGGGUUGUAAAGCACUUUUGUUGGGAAAGAAAUCCAGCUGGCUAAUACCCGGUUGGGAUGACGGUACCCAAAGAAUAAGCACCGGCUAACUUCGUGCCAGCAGCCGCGGUAA
rnacentral:rRNA from 1 species